GACAGAGGGUGCAAACGUUUGUUCGGAAUUACUGGGCGUAAAGCGUGUGUAGGCGGUCCGAUAAGUCGGGUGUGAAAGCCCUGGGCUCAACCCAGGAAGUGCACUCGAAACUGCCGGGCUAGAGUAUCGGAGAGGUUGGUGGAAUUCUCGGUGUAGAGGUGAAAUUCGUAGAUAUCGAGAGGAACACCGGCGGCGAAGGCGGCCAACUGGACGAAUACUGACGCUGAGACACGAAAGCGUGGGGAGCAAACAGG
rnacentral:rRNA from 1 species